rnacentral:rRNA from 1 species
CCUCAGUGUCAGUAUCAGUCCAGGUGGUCGCCUUCGCCACUGGUGUUCCUUCCUAUAUCUACGCAUUUCACCGCUACACAGGAAAUUCCACCACCCUCUACCAUACUCUAGCUUGUCAGUUUUGAAUGCAGUUCCCAGGUUGAGCCCGGGGCUUUCACAUCCAACUUAACAAACCACCUACGCGCGCUUUACGCCCAGUAAUUCCGAUUAACGCUUGCACCCUCUGUAUUACCGCGGCUGCUGGCACAGAGUUAGCCGGUGCUUAUUCUGUCGGUAACGUCAAAAUUGCAGAGUAUUAAUCUACAACCCUUCCUCCCAACUUAAAGUGCUUUACAAUCCGAAGACCUUCUUCACACACGCGGCAUGGCUGGAUCAGGCUUUCGCCCAUUGUCCAAUAUUCCCCACUGCUGCCUCCCGUAGGAGUCUGGACCGUGUCUCAGUUCCAGUGUGACUGAUCAUCCUCUCAGACCAGUUACGGAUCGUCGCCUUGGUGAGCCAUUACCUCACCAACUAGCUAAUCCGACCUAGGCUCAUCUGAUAGCGCAAGGCCCGAAGGUCCCCUGCUUUCUCCCGUAGGACGUAUGCGGUAUUAGCGUUCCUUUCGAAACGUUGUCCCCCACUACCAGGCAGAUUCCUAGGCAUUACUCACCCGUCCGCCGCUGAAU